CCGAGAAGCCCCCACAUGACUGGAAGUAGGAGCGCGCGGAGUUCCUGUUCCCCGCGUGCACAGUAAACAAACUAGCGGAGAACGAUGUGUUUACCCGUGAGGCAGCAGGUGCUUCGGGCUCUGUGGCUCUUCGCCGUGCUGGACGCGGGGCUGCUGCUGGACGGCGGCAUGCUGUACCCGCGGGAGUCCUCCUCCCGGGAGGUGAAGGAGCUCAGCGGGCUGUGGGUCUUCAGGGCAGACCGGUCCCCGAACAGGAAGCAGGGCUUCGACGAGGCUUGGUACAAACGGCCGUUGGAAGAGACUGGACCUGUGAUUGACAUGCCAGUUCCCGCCAGCUACAACGACAUCACACAGGACCCUGAAAUCAGAGAUUUCAUUGGCUGGGUGUGGUAUGAGCGCGAGUUGGUGGUGCCAACCCGCUGGAUCCAGGAUGAGAGCAUCCGUGUGGUCCUCAGGGUGGGAAGUGCCCACUAUAAUUCAGUUGUGUGGGUGAACGGAGUGAACGUGACCCAGCAUGAAGGAGGUCACCUUCCCUUUGAGGCGGAGGUCGGUGAUGUCCUCAGGAAGGACCCGACCGGGUCCUGCAGGAUCACCAUCGCUGUCAACAACACUCUGACUCUGUACACUCUCCCUCCAGGCAACAUCCAGUACAUGAAUGACCGCACCAGGUAUCCCGAUGGUUUUUUUGUACAAAGCAUCUACUUCGACUUCUUCAACUAUGCGGGCAUUCACCGUCCUGUUCUGUUCUACACCACUCCAAAAGCCUAUGUGGACGACAUCACCGUGGUGACCGACUUCUCUGAUAACACAGGACUGGUCUCGUAUAAAGUGUCUGUCAAAGGUGCAGUCACCGCCGCCUUAAAGGUCACUUUGAUUGACAAACAAGGUCACUGCGUGGCGUCCUCUAACGGGCCGUUUGGAGUCCUCAAAGUGCAAGAUGUCAACCUGUGGUGGCCAUACUUGACCCACGAGAAUCCAGGUUAUCUUUACUCUAUGGAGGUUCGCCUCAGUGCAGCUGAUGAGAGAACAACAUACGAGGAUGUUUACACUCUUCCCGUUGGCAUCCGCACCGUUAAUGUCACCAGCACCCAGUUCCUUAUCAACAACAAGCCGUUUUAUUUCCACGGGGUCAAUAAACACGAGGACUCCGAUAUUCGAGGGAAAGGCUUAGACUGGCCCCUGAUUGUUAAAGACUUUAAUUUGUUGAAGUGGUUGGGGGCCAACUCAUUCCGCACCAGUCACUACCCGUACGCCGAGGAGAUCCUGCAGAUGUGUGAUCGCCAUGGCAUCGUGGUGAUCGAUGAGAGCCCGGCGGUGGGCAUCAAGGACAUUCGCAGUUUUGGAAACGUCUCCCUGAAUCACCAUCUGUUUGUCAUGGAGGAGCUGGUUCGCAGAGACAAAAACCAUCCCUCUGUGGUCAUGUGGUCCGUGGCGAAUGAGCCUGCAUCCGAGAUGCCGCCUGCAGAUUAUUAUUUCAAGACUGUGAUAAAGCACACCAGAGACCUGGAUCCUACCAGACCUGUCACCUUUGUCUCGAGCAGCAACUUUGCAAGAGACAAAGGAGCUCCUUAUGUGGACGUAAUUUGCAUAAACAAUUACUUCUCCUGGUACCACGAUCCCGGCCAUGUGGAGGUCAUCACCCUCCAGCUCAACACCGAGUAUGACAACUGGCACGAAAAGUACAAGAAGCCCAUCAUCCAAAGUGAAUAUGGAGCAGACGCAGUGCCGGGAGUUCAUGUUGAUCCACCUGUGAUGUUCACGGAGGAGUAUCAGAAGGUAGUCCUGCAGAACUACCAUAAGGUGUUUGAUCAGAAGAGAGCGCAGUACCUCAUUGGGGAACUCAUCUGGAACUUUGCUGACUUCAUGACCACACAAGGAGUCACGCGUGUUGUGGGGAACAAGAAGGGCAUUUUCACACGCCAAAGGCAACCCAAAGCAGCAGCCUUCAUCCUGAAGGAGAGGUACUGGAGGCUGGCCAAUGAAACGGGCCGACUCCCACUCUGGACCAAGUACCCCUGUCCACUCUGACGAACUCAAACCAGAGUUCAGGGCCCAGUCAAAGACAGAUUUAGAAAUUAUGCAAGCAAAACGAAAAACUAAAAUUCUCUUAGCAGAAUAUUUGUCUACAAGAGAAAUCAAGGUCUGCUAAUGUUAGUAUUUUUUAUUAUUUUGGCUUUGAGGACCAAUGAUGUGGAUUUAAACUUUACCCGUAAAGUUUACAUCUAAAUGCAGAGUUUUAAUUCUUUCUAAGGCAGAGAAUCACAAAUGAAACACUGACGGUUGCUAUAACGCCCUGCACAAGGAAAGCAAAGAAGAACUGAAACGUUAAAGAUUGUUAAAAUCCAAAGAAUUCAAGAUGAUUGUUAUUUAAUUUAGUCCAAAUGGACCAAACUGGUUAAUGGCAAAAAUAUGUGACCAACAGAUAACUUUAAAUUGGAUGUGGUCCCACAAACACAACAUGAGGUUUAGCAAGUAGAGAAGGAAACUUCUUUAAAAUAAAUAGAUCAACAAGAGGAACCGUCAGAGUUUGAGCAACGAUCUGCUGGUUGGGGUUGAGUAUAAAUUAUUGCUUGACUGACUUUUCUUUUUAUUCAGUUAGCCAUUUUAAGGAGUUUUGGUUCUUAUUUUAUAAAUCAAUUCAACAUCUAAGGCAGAAGGGCUCGUCCCGUGCCCUCACUGACAAGCACAUCAGUUACUGCUGAAGGACCAUCUCUGGGAUUAACCAGCACAUGUAUGCAGUCGUAGAUGCAAGGCAGGGAGACUCAGUGAAGAAAUGGAUCCAGAAAGGGAAAUAACCACAAGCAACCUGCUUAACAUCUGAAAAUACAUUUUUUUUUCUCUGAAGAAGUCCCACUUUUGAACCCACAAAAACACAAAUCUGGGUCUGGUUCUACUUUUAACCCCUGUGCUUUCCUAUAGGGUCCAGAUGACCCUACCAUUACAUUGAUGUGUGAUCCCUCCCAUAACAAAGGUGGAUAGGAUUUUAUGUCUGCCACAAACACCAGUGUAGAUAAAAACAAAAAAAAAAGUUCAGUGCGCCGUCUUGUGGGGUCCAGAUGACCCCACUUUUAAUGUAAACAAGUUUAGGGUAGCACAAGGGUUAACUAACAUUGGGUUUCCAUAAAAAAAUAAACUUACCUGACCCAAACCCCCUCAGAACAAAUAGUUUGUAUUACAGAUGAAUAAGAUGCCAGAUACCGUAUAAUCAUUUCCAAAAAGCUCCUUUGAGGAAUUCUGUUGCCAGAUCAGUGGCCUUGUGGUAGAGUGUCCACCCUGAGACAGUUCAAAUCCAGAGUUGAUUCAUUCAAAAGACCAAAACAUGCCUCCCUGCUUCAAACUCAGCAUCACAGCGUUGAAUUUGGGGACUUAUACCAAACGGUUCCCGAGCGCGACUGUGUCUGCAGCUCACCCCUCCUCCAGGGGAUGGGUCAAAUACAAAUAAUAAAUUUCACACGCCUAGGUGCAUGAUGAUGGGACUUUAACUUUUUAUAACUAAAUGUGAAACUAAUUUGAGGAGUUCCUGUACAGGCCUGUAGAUUCCCAAUCAUUUACUUACAGAUCAAAUCCUCUGAGAGUUUAGAAAAGCAAUUUACAUUUUAACCACUUAUAUUAAAAAUCCACAUAAAUUAUCAACUUUAUCUUAGGGCAAUUUCUUUGAACUUGUCACGUUGGACGUUAUUUUCUGAAAGCAGCCAAAAGCGCCAAAAAGAAAAAAGAAAACCCCCCUCAUGUUACAAAUGUAAAUGACAGGUGGUUUCAGAGGGAAUGUUUUAAUGGUAGAUCAUUUCCACAUGACAAUGACAGUUAAAAAUUUGCUCAUGUCAACUUGUAGCCAGUUUUCCCUUAAAAUGAAUCGAGUCGGAAUUUUCUUUCACAUCCUCCCACCAUUCAUGUAACACUUUUCCAUGUAAGAAAAUACAGCAUUUUAAAACACAUUUGGCAAUAAAGAAGCAAAACCCCAGCGAGUCUUCCUCCGCAGAGUUUUCAAACAUGGUUUGCCGAUUCCUCGCUCGCAGGCCCCUCCACUUUUUUUGUUUUGUUUUUUUACUAAAAUAACCCAGGACGUUAACAGUCUAUAAAGCUAAAGGGCAUCAUUAACAAUAGAAAGAAAUUACAAUCGUAUUUGAACAGUGUAGUUUUGCUAACAAAGAAGUCUAGCUAGAGGAAAUCAACGGUGGAGUUCAGGGAAGAAAAGAGGAGCAGUCAGUGAUUUGACCGGGUGUUUCCAAUGACCAGGUGUUCUCCUUCACCCCUAACAGAUGCUUAACCCUUUGGAGAUGUGACUCCACCCUCGGAAAGGCAGGCAGAAGUGCCUGUUGCAGUUACCAUUCUCCACGUCAAGGCUUUUACUGUUGCUUCUCGUCUUUGGCUCAAGGCCUCAUGAUCAAACAGAAGGCACUUUUGUUGGCAUUAGUGAUGCAACUAACAUGGCAGUUAUACCUCAGGGCCUAAAUAAAUAUCCAUGAAAUGUAGCUUUGAUUCCUUCUCCCCCACUUUGCUCUAACGUCAUCCUACAGUCGCUCUCAGACGUUACUUCGGUGAAGUCGGCUGACCUAAACUGAAACUAUGACAGUUUGGCUGAAAGCUAAACUCCCAAAAGAUCUGGAGCUUUCAGGAGGCUUGAUGAGACGUGAAGCAAACACUUCAGGCUAUCUCACAGAGGACCUGCUUCCCUCUCGUCUGCCAAACAUCUGAUCAACUUCGCUCCACCACUGAACCCUUGGUUCUAACCCUUGGCUGUAUGGGAUGAAAUGGAAGCAACGAUGCGUUUGUGGGGAAACUGAAAAGUCUAGUACUAGUGUAACAUGUUUGUUUGUAACCUGACAGAGCCAAGUUGGAUUGUGCUCCUUCAAAACCCAAAAAGGUUUGCUGAUAAAUUACAUAAAUGACCAAAUCAAAAAAAAAAAAAA